GGGAAGCUUAAUGGCAGUCGAGGGGCAUCGGGAGGGAGCUUGCUUUCCUUGCCGGCGACCGGCGCACGGGUGAGUAACACGUAUGCAACCUGCCCUCUUCAAGGGGACAACCUUCCGAAAGGGAGGCUAAUCCCGCGUAUAUCGGUUUCGGGCAUCCGGGAUCGAGGAAAGAUUCAUCGGAAGAGGAUGGGCAUGCGGCGCAUUAGCUUGACGGCGGGGUAACGGCCCACCGUGGCGACGAUGCGUAGGGGUUCUGAGAGGAAGGUCCCCCACACUGGUACUGAGACACGGACCAGACUCCUACGGGAGGCAGCAGUGAGGAAUAUUGGUCAAUGGGAGAGAUCCUGAACCAGCCAAGCCGCGUGAGGGAAGACGGCCCUAUGGGUUGUAAACCUCUUUUGUCGGAGAACAAAACCCGGGACGUGUCCCGGACUGCGUGUAUCCGAAGAAAAAGCAUCGGCUAACUCCGUGCCAGCAGCCGCGGUAAUACGGAGGAUGCGAGCGUUAUCCGGAUUUAUUGGGUUUAAAGGGUGCGUAGGCGGUCCGUUAAGUCAGCGGUAAAAUUGCGGGGCUCAACCCCGUCGAGCCGUUGAAACUGGCAGACUUGAGUUGGCGAGAAGUACGCGGAAUGCGCGGUGUAGCGGUGAAAUGCAUAGAUAUCGCGCAGAACUCCGAUUGCGAAGGCAGCGUACCGGCGCCAGACUGACGCUGAGGCACGAAAGCGUGGGGAUCGAACAGGAUUAGAUACCC
rnacentral:rRNA from 1 species